AGAAUCAACGCUGGCGGCGUGCCUAACACAUGCAAGUCGAACGAGAAAGUGGAGCAAUCCAUGAGUAAAGUGGCGCACGGGUGAGUAACACGUUACUAACCUACCCUUGAGUGGGGGAUAACCUCGGGAAACCGGGGCUAAUACCGCAUAAUAUCGAGAGAUCAAAGGAGCAAUUCGCUUAAGGAGGGGGUCGCGGCUGAUUAGCUAGUUGGUAGGGUAAUGGCCUACCAAGGCUAUGAUCAGUAUCCGGCCUGAGAGGGCGCACGGACACACUGGAACUGAAACACGGUCCAGACUCCUACGGGAGGCAGCAGUGGGGAAUUUUGCGCAAUGGGGGAAACCCUGACGCAGCAACGCCGCGUGGAGGAUGAAGUCCCUUGGGACGUAAACUCCUUUCGAUCGGGACGAUAAUGACGGUACCGGAAGAAGAAGCCCCGGCUAACUUCGCGCCAGCAGCCGC
rnacentral:rRNA from 1 species